UGGGGAAUAUUGCACAAUGGGCGCAAGCCUGAUGCAGCAACGCCGCGUGAACGAUGAAGGUCUUCGGAUCGUAAAGUUCUGUUGCAGGGGAAGAUAAUGACGGUACCCUGUGAGGAAGCCCCGGCUAACUACGUGCCAGCAGCCGCGGUAAUACGUAGGGGGCUAGCGUUAUCCGGAUUUACUGGGCGUAAAGGGUGCGUAGGUGGUCUUUCAAGUCGGUGGUUAAAGGCUACGGCUCAACCGUAGUUAGCCUCCGAAACUGGAAGACUUGAGUGCAGGAGAGGAAAGUGGAAUUCCCAGUGUAGCGGUGAAAUGCGUAGAUAUUGGGAGGAACACCAGUAGCGAAGGCGGCUUUCUGGACUGCAACUGACACUGAGGCACGAAAGCGUGGGUAGCAAACAGG
rnacentral:rRNA from 5 species